AGCGAACGCUGGCGGCAGGCCUAACACAUGCAAGUCGAACGAACCUUUCGGGGUUAGUGGCGGACGGGUGAGUAACACGUGGGAACGUGCCUUUAGGUUCGGAAUAACUCAGGGAAACUUGUGCUAAUACCGAAUGUGCCCUUCGGGGGAAAGAUUUAUCGCCUUUAGAGCGGCCCGCGUCUGAUUAGCUAGUUGGUUGAGGUAAUGGCUCACCAAGGCGACGAUCAGUAGCUGGUCUGAGAGGAUGAUCAGCCACAUUGGGACUGAGACACGGCCCAAACUCCUACGGGACGCAGCCGUGGGGGAUCCUGCGCCAUGGGCGAAAGCCUGACGCAUCCAUGCCGGGUGAAUGAUUAAGGUCUUAGGAUUGUAAAAUUUUUUCAUCGGGGACGAUAAUGACGGUACCCGGAGAAGAAGCCCCGGCUAACUUCGUG
rnacentral:rRNA from 1 species